CCCUGGCCUAGGGAGGCUGCCCCAUUUCUUAUCAAAAGGCAUGCACAAAUUGCCUGCAGCUGUGCUAGCAAAGCUGCACUUUUAACCACUGCUCUUCCCCUGAGGCCAUUAUCUCCUCUCUAAUGGGCUCAGCCACUGCCCAGCGUCUUCUGCCUCCCUGAGAUGGAUCUGCAGCUGGCAGGCACGGGAUGAGCCUGGCGGGUCCAGCCAUAGAUGGCCGCUCCUCUCGGGGCAUCUCUUGACCCAUCUCUUUGAAGCGUCCCUCACCACCCCAUCCCCGUGGGAGCAUCUCACAGAUCUCCUUCAAUCUGCUACCAGAUGGAGCUGGUAGCGCCUUAGCUCAGCCCCUAGCCCCUAGGCCCUCAAAGUCCCUAGGGUGGGAGAGGCCAGGGAAGAAAACAGCAACCCCUAGGAGAACUGGAGUGGGGGACAGGGACACUUCCGCUGGAGCUGGCUGGGUGCCACCUGGCUCCCUCCUCCUGCUCUCAGAAGAGAAUCUAAAUCCUCUGGCUUUUUUUUUUUUUCUUUUUUAAAUCAGGGCUGCAUCAUGGGUCAGCAGCAGUAGCUGCCCCAGGGAGGGGCCGCUCAAAGCCGCUGAAUUCAGCAGUUAUUUGUGGGCAUCACCGACUGGCCCUAGCCCCGGUCUCAGGAGAACAGGAGUUGCUCUUGCCCCUGUUUGCAUGCUGGAUGAGGCCACAGACUGCCAGCUGCCUGCCAUGCUCUCUAGAAGAUUAUCUCAAAUAUUCCUAUAGGUCUGGAGCGAUGACUAACGGGCACAUCCAAAGAGUGGGUCACCCUCCCCACUGCCAACCACCACCACCAGACAGCAGACCUUCCACAGGAGGUGCCUGGGAAAGCAAAACGUGGUAACAGCUGUGAACACCCCCAAAGGCUUACACCUCCAGGAUGCGGAACUCCCCUCUUGCUUAGACAGCAAACCUACUUCAAGAAAGUGGCUCCCCAGCACGCCAAACCAACAUUACCUUCGAGAUGACUAUAAUACAUGCCAUAUGAAACCCAUGUCUGAACACAAAAAUCAAAACCACGAAGAAAACAGCCUACUAACGCAGCAAGGAUGGUGAAGGGUGCAGUGUCAUGGGAAUGCUGGCCGAGCACGGACAAUGUUCUGGGUUCCAGCCCAGAACUGCAAAACGCAACACAGAAACAAACUAAAAAACAACAACAAAACCCAGCAGGGAGCUCCAAAUACUGAGUCAACAACAUUCUACCGUGACAGGACCCUUCCUGGCUUCCUGAUUUCUGUUGCGAGAGGUGAUAUGAGGUAGUGACCAAUAUUAGAAACCAGACCAAUGAAGUUCCCAAUAGAUACGACUGAAAACCCAUUCCCUUAUCACCCGAGUCUGUCUGAGAACCCACCCCCAUAUCCUGAGAGUCCGCUGAGAACCCACUCACAUAACCUGAGCCUGCAGCUCCAAAUGAACACCAUUCUGCUCCAGGAAAACAACGGACGCCCUCACUAAAUGGGGCUAUCUCAAAGCAAUGAAAGGCACAAAGUCCUGGAUAAGAAGAGUUAGAAAAUUUACUUCAGCAUUAACCGUGAAAUGGUCUACCAUUCCAGAAGACUGCCUUAAGAAAUGCCGUGGCUGGAGAGAUGGCUCAGGGGUUAAGAGCACCUGCUGCUCUUGCUGAGGACCCCGUUCAGUUCCUGACACCUACACUACAAGGUGGCUCUCAACUGCCUAUAACGCCACUUCCAGGGGAUCUGAUGUCCUCUUAUGACUUCACAGGCACCAAAUACACAUGGUGCACAGAUAUAUGUGCAGAAAAAACACCAUAUACAUAAUAUAAAAUAAUAAAGCUUUUAAUUAAAAAAAUUAAAAAUAGAAAUAUCUUAGAUAUGGGAAGAACCUUCUAGCCCAUUGUCUAAAAUAACAUAUCUCUGAAGUAAAUUGAAUGUCUUAAAUUUUCUGUUUAUAAGAAAAUGGAUAGGGGCCAGGCGGUGGUGGCACAUGCCUUUAAUCCUGGCACUUAGGAGGCGGAGGCAGGAGGGUCUCUGUGAGUUUGAGGUCAGCCUGGGCUACAGAGCUAGUUGUAGGACAUCCAAGGCUACACAAAGAAACCCUAUCUAGAAAAACAAAAACAAACAAACAAACACAAGAAAGAAAAAGAAAAUGGAUACAGAUAACACAGUCAUUUAAGAGAACUCUGAAUCUCUGUGAAAAGACCUUUAAAAAAAAAAGACUCAAUUACCACCUUUUCCACAUGAAACAUUAUGUCUGAAAAAUGCCUUUGAGGGAAUAAGAGUAUAGCUUAGUGGUAGAGCAUUUUCCAAGCAUGUAUGAGGCCUUGGGUAUCACCCCAAGUUCUGUAAAAACUAACUAAAUAAAAGCCACCCGGGAGUACUCAGAUUAGCAUUCAUUUUAUUUAUGCAUUGUUAAACUUUAUAAUGACUUCUAAAUCUGUUUAAAGGAAAUCUCGAUUGUGUUAAGAAAGACAGGCUCUGACGUUCCCAAAUCAAAAUCCAAACGGGGCCAUCACUGUCCAAGACUAAGGAGAGAUGGCCUAAGGGGCCCUGAACCACUCUAGGCAAAGACUCAACUCUUCUGGGUGGCAGGGGGAAGCCUGUGUCUCCACAGCCUCACUGUGGCCAAGAGCUCCAAGGAUACGAGGGCUUUCAGGUCUCCUAGAAGCCACCACAUUCUAACUGUAGUAUUAACACACUCUGACUGCAGAGAAGACUUUCCCUAUAAAAUCUAGAUGAUAAACUGUGCCAGGAGAAUUACAUGAAAAUAGGGUGACCACAGCCCAGAGAGGCCAUGGCCCCUCAACCAGGCUAAUUAUAAGACGCAAACACCAGGAUCUGGGGCUACUCUUAAAUAACUGCUCUCCUCACCCCAAACCACAUCCCGAAGCCUCUGGAGCCCCAUCCUGAAUCAUGAGUGAAGUGGGAUGGGGGAACAAUUUGGACUCUAAGCCACAUGUAAUGACAGGGAGAGAUCAGAUUUC